UACGGGGGGUGCAAACGUUGCUCGGAAUUAUUGGGCGUAAAGCGCACGUAGGCGGUCCUGUAAGUCGGGUGUGAAAGCCCGGGGCUUAACCCCGGAAGUGCACUCGAAACUGCAAGGCUUGAGUAUGGAAGAGGGUCUCGGAAUUCCCGGUGUAGAGGUGAAAUUCGUAGAUAUCGGGAGGAACACCAGUGGCGAAGGCGGCGAUCUGGGAAGAUACUGACGCUGAGGUGCGAAAGCGUGGGGAGCAAACAGG
rnacentral:rRNA from 1 species